CGCUUUGAAUUUGAAUAAGACCUGGCCAUGUUUGAAGUCAUUACCCUUAACCGUAAGGAGGGGGAUGCCUAAGGCUAGGCUUGCGACUGGAGUGAAGUCGUAACAAGGUAGCCGUACUGGAAGGUGCGGCUG
rnacentral:ncRNA from 1 species